rnacentral:rRNA from 1 species
GAUGAACGCUGGCGGCGUGCUUAACACAUGCAAGUCGAACGAAGCACUUUAUUUGAUUUCCUUCGGGACUGAUUAUUUUGUGACUGAGUGGCGGACGGGUGAGUAACGCGUGGGUAACCUGCCUUGUACAGGGGGAUAACAGUUGGAAACGGCUGCUAAUACCGCAUAAGCGCACGGCAUCGCAUGAUGCAGUGUGAAAAACUCCGGUGGUAUAAGAUGGACCCGCGUUGGAUUAGCUAGUUGGUGAGGUAACGGCCCACCAAGGCGACGAUCCAUAGCCGACCUGAGAGGGUGACCGGCCACAUUGGGACUGAGACACGGCCCAAACUCCUACGGGAGGCAGCAGUGGGGAAUAUUGCACAAUGGGCGAAAGCCUGAUGCAGCGACGCCGCGUGAGCGAAGAAGUAUUUCGGUAUGUAAAGCUCUAUCAGCAGGG